GAGAAACUUUUUAGUUUGAUGCAAUCUCAUUUGUCUAUUUUUUCCUUGGAUGACUGUGCUUUUGGUGUCAUACCCAAACAACUAUUUCCAAUGUUAGAUAUAAGUUCUAAAUUUCUCUUCAAUGAAUCAAUAUGUCAGUAUGUUCAAUUCUUUGCCUUCUACUUUUAAUCCUAACUUCCUUGUAAAGCAAUCUUUUUUGAUUACCUGCUCCGCCCUAACUCAUUCCAAUUAUCUGCUCCACCAUGACUCAUUCUCCACCCUGACACAUUCCAAUUUCCUGCUCUGCCAUAACCAUUUUUCCUGCCAAACCGCUCACCUCGUCACUCUCUUUAAAUUAGCCAAUCGGAAUUAGUUCAGCCUGUAAGGUCUAACCCUAGCCAAUAGGGGAAUGACACAGCAGCAGGGGCCAUGAGCAUCAGGAAUAGGAACCCCUUCCCCCCUCUUGUCCAGGUGUGUGCUCACCACUGCUCUGUCUGUAAGGGCGCACCCUUCUAUAGAAGUACAUUGCCUUGCUGAGAAUUAAAAAUAACAUUUUAUAUUUGAGUGCCAUUUCUUUUACAGCACUGAAACUUUAUUUAUAACACCAAGAACAAUGUCAAAGAAGCAUUGUCCUUUGUUUUCUUCUUGGAUUUCAGUGACAGUUUGGAGGAUUAUUGGUCAGAAGUUUUGAAGAAUGUCUCUCAACUGACUUUUGUCUGUUGUUUUUCUCAUGACAAGACUAUGGUCGUGGAUUUUGGGGAUGAAUAUGACAGAGAGCCUGUGCUGUGAGCUCAACUGAUUGUCACAAAAGUAAGCUGCAUGCUUUCAAAUUAAUACAAAUCACCAAUGCUAAAAAUCCUGAAGCAUGAAUGAAGUUUGCAAUCAUACUGAUGCAGAAGGAGGAUUAGAACAUAAAGGGCUGGUUUUGUUCUGCAGUACUGACUCUUGGUAAAGGCUUCAGAUUUCAGACAUGCCUGGUCAACUUUGAUUCUCAGCAAACAACACAAGGUGGGCUCAAGAUGGGGCCUCUGAAACACACUAGUAGAAAUAUUCAGAAAUCUUAAGUUUAACUCAAGAUUUUGUAAAUUUAGUAAUACAAAUAUUCCAAGACCCAGUGAUCUCACUCUACUCUCCAGAGCUUGUUUCUUUGACAAACUACUGCACCCAAAUAAAGAUGUCAAUUAAGACUGAAGUGUU
rnacentral:lncRNA from 10 species